rnacentral:tRNA from 1 species
GCCUGGGUGGCUCAGUCGGUUGAGCGUCCGACUUCGGCUCAGAGUCUGUGAGUUCGAGCCCCGCGUCGGGCU